rnacentral:rRNA from 1 species
UACAGAGGGGGCAAGCGUUGUUCGGAAUUACUGGGCGUAAAGGGCGCGUAGGCGGCCUGCUAAGUCGAACGUGAAAUCCCUGGGCUCAACCCAGGAACUGCGUCCGAUACUGGUUGGCUUGAAUCCGGGAGAGGGACGUGGAAUUCCAGGUGUAGCGGUGAAAUGCGUAGAUAUCUGGAGGAACACCGGUGGCGAAGACGACGUCCUGGACCGGCAUUGACGCUGAGGCGCGAAAGCCAGGGGAGCAAACGGG